AUAGCAAGAUCACUCGUCAUCCAAUCACUUAAACGACAAAUGAGCCACGGAUAAUGAUCAGACAGACUCACCAGAAAUGGAGAGACCGUUGCCUUUGAACAGCUUCAUGGCCCGACUGGUGCUUCAACUGAGCUCGCUUGCAGGUGACGAGGCAAGCUGUGAAUUUGUUCAAUUCCUGCAUAAAGCAGCAUUCCUUAACGAAGGUUGCCAAUGGAAAAUGUUUUGAGCCAUUGAGACCAAACACGGGUGUUAAGGAGCCGUCAACUGCUCGCAGGAAAUAAAAAUGGAGUUCCAAACCAGUUGCCGUCUCACUCUCAGCUAAGCUCAGUUGCAGAUGCUCCCCUUUUUAAUGACUUCACCUACUUACAAAAUAUAAUGCUGAUAUGUUGGGCCUUCAACUUCCUGAAUGAGUGGAAGCUCAAGAUAGCCAGCAGGUUCUGGGUCAGCCGAGAUUAGGUUUCUGUUAUCUCUGACAACUGAACCCACUGGCUUUGUCACCCAACUUUUAAUCAUCAGGAUUAUGCACUUUCCAGCUAAGUCAAUGCACCAUGAGAUUAUCCCAGGAAGCAGGCACAUUCCCCAUUCUGCAUAUGUCAAUCUUGAAUCACCUGCAAUAAUAUGUGCUAUCUCAAGAAAUGCGACCUGCAACAACAAAGCAGCACCUAUACACACCCAAAACCAUUCACUGCGAUGGACCCCUUUGAAGAUGUUCUUGUUUUCAGGCUCUUGUGCAUUGAACUUGUUGAAAAACUGGCAUACAAAAAGCUGUUGAACAUCAGAGUCCCAAAUACCUUCUCCCUAAGCCCAAGAAUUGUAGGCCCUUUAGACUGCAUGGUUACCAAAAAGAGAUGCCUG